AAUUUCGGUCAUCGAUGGGGAUGCGUUCCAUUAGGUUGUUGGCGGGGUAACGGCCCACCAAGCCUUCGAUGGAUAGGGGUUCUGAGAGGAAGGUCCCCCACAUUGGAACUGAGACACGGUCCAAACUCCUACGGGAGGCAGCAGUGAGGAAUAUUGGUCAAUGGACGAGAGUCUGAACCAGCCAAGUAGCGUGAAGGAUGACUGCCCUAUGGGUUGUAAACUUCUUUUAUACGGGAAUAAAGUGAGGCACGUGUGCCUUUUUGUAUGUACCGUAUGAAUAAGGAUCGGCUAACUCCGUGCCAGCAGCCGCGGUAAUACGGAGGAUCCGNGCGUUUUCCGGNUUUNUUGGGUUUNNNGGGNGCGUNGGCGGNCGCUUNNGUCCGUUGUGNNNGUUUGCGGCUCCCCCGUNNNNUUGCCGUUGNUNCUGGGUGUCUUGNGUNCCGUNGNGGCCGGCGGNNUUCGUGGUGUNGCGGUGNNNUGCUUUGUUNUCACGNNGNNCUCCGCUUGCGNNGGCCGCUUGCUGGNCUGUNNCUGNCGCUGNUGCUCGNANGUGUGGGUCUCAAAAGGGCUUNGCUNCCCUGGUNGUCCNCNNCNGUCNCCCCUAAAGGGCGCUGUUGCGAUAUACAGUAAGCGGCCAAGCGAAAGCGUUAAGUAUUCCACCUGGGGAGUACGCCGGCAACGGUGAAACUCAAAGGAAUUGACGGGGGCCCGCACAAGCGGAGGAACAUGUGGUUUAAUUCGAUGAUACGCGAGGAACCUUACCCGGGCUUGAAUUGCAACUGAAUGAUAUGGAGACAUGUCAGCCGCAAGGCAGUUGUGAAGGUGCUGCAUGGUUGUCGUCAGCUCGUGCCGUGAGGUGUCGGCUUAAGUGCCAUAACGAGCGCAACCCUUAUCGAUAGUUACCAUCAGGUGAUGCUGGGGACUCUGUCGAGACUGCCGUCGUAAGAUGUGAGGAAGGUGGGGAUGACGUCAAAUCAGCACGGCCCUUACGUCCGGGGCUACACACGUGUUACAAUGGGGGGUACAGAAGGCAGCUACACGGCGACGUGAUGCUAAUCCCUAAAGCCUCUCUCAGUUCGGAUUGGAGUCUGCAACCCGACUCC
rnacentral:rRNA from 1 species